GAUGAAGAACGCAGUGAAAUGCGAUAAGUAAUGUGAAUUGCAGAAUUCAGUGAAUCAUCGAAUCUUUGAACGCACAUUGCGCCCCUUGGUAUUCCGAGGGGCAUGCCUGUUCGAGCGUCAUUAUAACCCCUCAAGCUCAGCUUGGUGUUGGGGCCUGCUGCACUGGCAGCCCUUAAAAUCAGUGGCGGCGCCAUCUGGCUCUAAGCGUAGUAAUUCUUCUCGCUAUGGAGUCCUGGUGGAUGCUUGCCAUCAACCCCCAAUUUUUCUAUGGUUGACCUCGGAUCAGGUAGGGAUACCCGCUGAACUUAAGCAUAUCAAUAAGCGGAGGAA
rnacentral:misc_RNA from 1 species